GAUGAACGCUAGCGGCAGGCCUAACACAUGCAAGUCGAGGGGUAGCAGGAUUAAGCUUGCUUAAUUGCUGACGACCGGCGCACGGGUGCGUAACGCGUAUGCAACCUACCUUAUACUGGGGUAUAGCCCGGAGAAAUUCGGAUUAAUCCCCCAUAGUACUAAUGAAUCGCAUGGUUUAGUAGUUAAAGCAUUGCGGGAUAAGAUGGGCAUGCGUCCUAUUAUCUAGAGGGUGAGGUAACGGCUCACCAUGGCUACGAUAGGUAGGGGGUCUGGGAGGGUGGUCCCCCACACUGGUACUGAGACACGGACCAGACUCCUACGGGCGGCAGCAGUGAGGAAUAUUGGUCAAUGGGCGCAAGCCUGAACCAGCCAUGCCGCGUGCAGGAAGAAUGCCCUAUGGGUUGUAAACUGCUUUUAUUUGGGAAUAAACCUCUUUACGUGUAGAGAGCUGAAGGUACCAAAUGAAUAAGCACCGGCUAACUCCGUGCCAGCCGCCGCAGUAA
rnacentral:rRNA from 1 species